rnacentral:rRNA from 1 species
UACGGGGGAGAGCAAGCGUUGUUCGGAUUUACUGGGCGUAAAGGCGCGUAGGCGGCGUUGACAAGUCAACGUUGUCGAAAUCUCCGGGCUUUAACUACGGAACGGGUCAAGUGAUACGUGUCGGAUGCUUAGAGUACAGAAGGGGGCAACUGGAAUUCUCGGUGUAGCGGUGAAAUGCGUAGAUAUCGAAGGAGGAACACCCUGGCGGCGAAAGGCGGGUUGCUGGGCGUGAUAACUGACGGCUGGAGGCGACGGAA